rnacentral:rRNA from 1 species
CCUACGGGCGGCAGCAGUGAGGAAUAUUGGUCAAUGGCCGGAAGGCUGAACCAGCCAUGCCGCGUGAAGGUCAGUGCCCUAUGGGCGUUAAACUUCUUUUGUGCGGGAGCAAUAAUGGUCACGUGUGGCCAGACGAGAGUACCGUACGAAUAAGCAUCGGCUACCUCCGUGCCAGCAGCCGCGGUAAUCCGGGGGACGCAAGCGUUAACCCGAUUUAUUGGGUUUAAGGGGUGCGUAGGCGGUGAGGUAAGUCAGCGGUGAAAUGCCCCGGCUCAACGGGGUGAAGUGCCAUUGAUACUGCCUUGCUAGAAUGCGGAUGCCGUGGGAAGAAUGUGUGGUGUAGCGGUGAAAUGCAUAGAGAUCACACAGAACACCGAUUGCGAAGGCAUCUCACGAAUCCGCGAUUGACGCUGAUGCACGAAAGCGUGGGUAUCAAACAGGAUUAGAUACCCGAGUAGUC